rnacentral:rRNA from 1 species
AGCCUGAUGCAGCGACGCCGCGUGAGGGAUGACGGCCUUCGGGUUGUAAACCUCUUUCGCCAGGGACGAAGCGCAAGUGACGGUACCUGGAGAAGAAGGACCGGCCAACUACGUGCCAGCAGCCGCGGUAAUACGUAGGGUCCGAGCGUUGUCCGGAAUUACUGGGCGUAAAGAGCUCGUAGGUGGUUUGUCGCGUUGUUCGUGAAAACUCACAGCUUAACUGUGGGCGUGCGGGCGAUACGGGCAGACUGGAGUACUGCAGGGGAGACUGGAAUUCCUGGUGUAGCGGUGGAAUGCGCAGAUAUCAGGAGGAACACCGGUGGCGAAGGCGGGUCUCUGGGCAGUAACUGACGCUGAGGAGCGAAAGCGUGGGGAGCGAACAGGAUUAGAUACCCUGGUAGUCCACGCCGUAAACGGUGGGUACUAGGUGUGGGUUUCCUUCCUUGGGAUCCGUGCCGUAUCUAACGCAUUAAGUACCCCGCCUGGGGAGUACGGCCGCAAGGCUAAAACUCAAAG